UCUGGUGAUUGUAGCGGAGCGGAACCACCUCUUCCCAUCCCGAACAGAGAAGUGAAACUCUCCAGCGCCGACGAUACUAGAGAUUAGGUUCUCUUGGAAAAUAGGUCAUCGCCAGAA
rnacentral:rRNA from 1 species